CCUACGGGAGGCAGCAGUGAGGAAUAUUGGUCAAUGGGCGCGACCCUGAACCAGCCAAGUCGCGUGAGGGAAGACGGUUUUAUGGAUUUUAAAUCUCUUUUUUCGGGGAGCAAAAGACGCCAUGCGUGGCGUUCCGAGCGUACCCGAAGAAAAAGCAUCCGCUAACUCCGUGCCAGCAGCCGCGGUAAUACGGAGGGUGCGAGCGUUAAUCGGAAUUACUGGGCGUAAAACGCUCGUAGGCGGUAUGGCAAGUCAAGGGUGAAAUCCCCGCGCUCAACGUGGGAACUGCCUUUGAAACUGGCAAACGGGAGUGUGUGAGAGGAUGGUGGAAUUCCAGGUGUAGGAGUGAAAUCCGUAGAUAUCUGGAGGAACACCAGUGGCGAAGGCGACGAUCUGGCACAUAACUGACGCUGAGGAGCGAAAGCGUGGGUAGCAAACAGGAUUAGAUACCCGGGUAGUC
rnacentral:rRNA from 1 species